rnacentral:rRNA from 1 species
AUUGAACGCUGGCGGCAUGCUUUACACAUGCAAGUCGAACGGUAACAGGCCGCAAGGUGCUGACGAGUGGCGAACGGGUGAGUAAAGCAUCGGAACGUGCCCAGUCGUGGGGGAUAACGCAGCGAAAGCUGCGCUAAUACCGCAUACGAUCUAUGGAUGAAAGCGGGGGACCGUAAGGCCUCGCGCGAUUGGAGCGGCCGAUGUCAGAUUAGGUAGUUGGUGGGGUAAAGGCUCACCAAGCCGACGAUCUGUAGCUGGUCUGAGAGGACGACCAGCCACACUGGGACUGAGACACGGCCCAGACUCCUACGGGAGGCAGCAGUGGGGAAUUUUGGACAAUGGGCGCAAGCCUGAUCCAGCAAUGCCGCGUGCAGGAAGAAGGCCUUCGGGUUGUAAACUGCUUUUGUACGGAACGAAACGGCUCUGGUUAAUACCUGGGGCUAAUGACGGUACCGUAAGAAUAAGCACCGGCUAACUGCGUGCCAGCAGCCGCAGUAAAAC